rnacentral:misc_RNA from 1 species
GAUGAAGAACGUAGUGAAAUGCGAUAAGUAAUGUGAAUUGCAGAAUUCAGUGAAUCAUCGAAUCUUUGAACGCACAUUGCGCCCCCUGGUAUUCCGGUGGGCAUGCCUGUUCGAGCGUCAUUUCACCACUCAAGCCUCGCUUGGUAUUGGGCAACGCGGUCCGCCGCGUGCCUCAAAUCGACCGGCUGGGUCUUCUGUCCCCUAAGCGUUGUGGAAACUAUUCGCUAAAGGGUGUUCGGGAGGCUACGCCGUAAAACAACCCCAUUUCUAAGGUUGACCUCGGAUCAGGUAGGGAUACCCGCUGAACUUAAGCAUAUCAAUAAGCGGAGGA